GCCUACGGGGGACAGCAGUGGGGAAUAUUGCACAAUGGGCGAAAGCCUGAUGCAGCAACGCCGCGUGAAGGAAGACGGUUUUCGGCUCGUAAAGCUCUGUUGGUAGUGAAGAAAGAUAGAGGUAGUAACUGGCCUUUAUUUGACGGUAAUUACUUAGAAAGUCACGGCUAACUACGUGCCAGCAGCCGCGGUAAUACGUAGGUGGCAAGCGUUGUCCGGAUUUAUUGGGCGUAAAGCGAGUGCAGGCGGUUCAAUAAGU
rnacentral:rRNA from 1 species